rnacentral:rRNA from 1 species
GGAUGAACGCUGGCGGCGUGCUUAACACAUGCAAGUCGAACGUGAUCCAUUAGCAGUAGUGGUGAAAGUGGCGAACGGGUGAGUAACACGUAGAUAACCUGCCCUGGAGUGGGGGAUAACCAUUGGAAACGAUGGCUAAUACCGCAUGAAUCUGUCCUUACGGGAGUGAGGGUAGAGAAAACUCUGGUGCUACAGGAGGGGUCUGCGUCCGAUUAGCUAGUUGGCGGGGUAAAGGCCCACCAAGGCGACGAUCGGUAGCUGGUCUGAGAGGACGAUCAGCCACACGGGAACUGAGACACGGUCCCGACUCCUACGGGGGGCAGCAGUGAGGAAUAUUGGGCAAUGGGCGCAAGCCUGACCCAGCAACGCCGCGUGGAGGAAGACGGCCUUUGGGUUGUAAACUCCUUUUGUCGGGGAAGAGGAAGGACGGUACCCGGCGAAUAAGUCACGGCUAACUACGUGCCAGCAGCCGCGGUAAUACGUAGGUGACAAGCGUUAUCCGGAAUUACUGGGCGUAAAGCGCACGCAGGCGGCUGAUCAAGUCUGACGUGAAAUCUCCCGGCUUAACUGGGAGGGGUCGUUGGAAACUGGUUGGCUUGAGGUGGUGAGAGGGGUGUGGAAUUCCCGGUGUAGUGGUGGAAUGCGUAGAUAUCGGGAGGAACACCAGUGGCGAAAGCGGCACCCUGGCACUGACCUGACGCUCAUGUGCGAAAGCGUGGGGAGCAAACGGGAUUAGAUACCCCGGUAGUCCACGCCGUAAACGAUGAGUACUAGGUGUGGGUGGAGUCAAAUCUAUCCGUGCCGAAGCAAACGCGCUAAGUACUCCGCCUGGGGAGUACGGCCGCAAGGCUAAAACUCAAAGGAAUUGACGGGGGCCCGCACAAGCAGCGGAGCGUGUGGUUUAAUUCGAUGAUACGCGAAGAACCUUACCUGGGCUUGAACUGUGCCUGACAGGUGUAGAGAUACACCCUUCUUCGGACAGGUAUAGAGGUGCUGCAUGGCUGUCGUCAGCUCGUGUCGUGAGAUGUUGGGUUAAGUCCCGCAACGAGCGCAACCCUUACCCCUUGUUGCUAACAGGUAACGCUGGGCACUCUAGGGGAACUGCCGGUGAUAAACCGGAGGAAGGUGGGGAUGACGUCAAGUCAUCACGGCCCUUAUGUCCAGGGCUACACACGUGCUACAAUGGCCGGUACAAAGAGAUGCAAUGCCGCGAGGUGGAGCAAAUCUCAAAAAACCGGUCUCAGUUCGGAUUGGAGUCUGCAACUCGACUCCAUGAAGCUGGAAUCGCUAGUAAUCGUAGAUCAGCACGCUACGGUGAAUACGUUCCCGGGCCU